rnacentral:rRNA from 1 species
AGCCAUGCGAGUCGAGAGCCUUAGGGGCUCGGCAUACUGCUCAGUAACACGUGGAUACACCUGCCCUAUUGUCUGGAAUAACCUCGGGAAACUGAGAACAAGGCCGGAUAACCCACCAUGCCUGGAACGGUUGGUGGGUGAAGAUAGGAUGGGUCUGCGGCGUAUCAGGUUGUAGGGGGUGUAAUGGACCUCCUAGCCAUCGACGCGUACGGGUGUUGGGAGACAUAGCCCGGAGAUGGAUUCUGAGACACGAAUCCAGACCCUACGGGGUGCAGCAGGCGCGAAAACUUCACACUGCAGGAAACUGUGAUGAGGGAACUCCAAGUGCUAUCACUAUGUGGUAGCUUUUCUUGACUAUUAAUCGGUCAUGGAAUAAGGGCUGGGAAAGACCGGUGCCAGCCGCCGCGGUAAUACCGGCAGCUCAAGUGGUCGUCGCUUUUAUUGGGCCUAAAACGUCCGUAGCCUGUUUGGUAAAUCUGUGGGUAAAUCAACCAGCUUAACUGGUUGAAUUCUGCAGAGACUGCCAGACUAGGGACCGGGAGAGGUGUGGGGUACUCUAGGGGUAGGGGUAAAAUCCUGUCAUCCUUAGAGGACCACCAGUUGCGAAAGGCGCCACCACUGGAACGGAUCCGACGGUCAGGGACGAAGCCUAGGGGCCACGAACCGGAUUAGAUACCCGGGUAGUCCUAGGUGUAAACGCUGUGAACUUGUGUCGGGGAUCCGUAAUGGGUCUCGGUGCGGAGUGAGAUGUUAAGUUCACUGCCUGGGGGAGUACGUCGCAAGGCUGAACUCAAGGGAAAUGACGG